rnacentral:lncRNA from 1 species
AUGGCGACCCCCCGGGCGGCGAGGACGGCGAAUCAGCCGGGCAGUGAGGAUGGCGACCCCCCGGGCAGCCAUUGGCGCCGGUGGGCUCCCCUGGACGGCCAGCGCCGGCGUCACGGGAAGCCAGCCCGUCGCGGCAUGGGAGGGCAGCGCCGGUGGGACGGGAAGCCAUCGCCGGCGGCACGGCGAGGCCGGCGGCACGGGAGGGCAGCGCCGGCGUCACGGGAGGCCAGCGCCCGGGCGGCCCCCAUGGCCGGCAGCAUGGAUGGCGACCCCUCGAGUAACGAGGACGGAGAAUCAGCCGAGCGGCGAAGAUGGCGACCGCCCGAGCAGCCAUUGGCGCCGGCGGGCUCCCCCGGACGGCCAACGCCGGCGGCACGGGAAGCCAGCCCAUCGCGGCUUGGGCGGGCAGCGCCGGCGGCACGGGAGGCCAUCCCUAGGCCUGCUGCUCCGGUAGCACGGGAGGCCAGCGCCCUGCCAGCCCGGGCGGCCAGCCCCAGGCCUGCUUGGCCGGCUAAUCCCAGGCAGGCGCAGGACAGGCAGCUCACGGCCACGGCGGCACAGGCAGGCAGCUCCCAGGCAGGCACGGGCAGCAACCCCCUGGAUGGCGUGGGCAGACAGCUCGGCAUGGCGAUGAACUCAACAACUGAGUUAUUAGACUCUAAUUUUUUGUUAAAGAUAAAUUUGAUUGGCAAUCGCACAAAGAUAAGAAAGGAUGUUAAAUGUUGGAACUUUGAGAUGAUUGUUGAUUCGGACAGGACAUGCUUUAUGGAUUUUGUUCAAUCAGUUGUUGACAAGUAUCCCCCAAGGUACUUGGAGGUUGCACAUUACUAUGAUGAUGUCCUCAAAACUUUUCCAGAGGUUAACUCAGACCAAGAGUUGCUAGUUAUGUUUGAUCUACACAAUAAGAAGAAGGUUGUAGAAAUGUUCAUUGUUUAUGCCAAUCCGUCUGAGCCAUUCAAGCCUAUCACUGAGUGGGAAUUUGAAGAGGAAGAGCAACCCGACAACAACACAGAACCCGAUGGUGACAACUAUCUUAGUAAUCCUAAUCCAUUGAAUGAGCAUGUUGGAAUUGAUGAUGAGAAUAUGUACUUGGAGAGUGUCCCUAUAAAUCAA